GACGAACCGUGCGAACGUUGUUCGGAAUCACUGGGCUUAAAGGGCGCGUAGGCGGCUCGGGGGGUCGGGGGUGAAAUCCCACAGCUUAACUGUGGAAGUGCCUUCGAUACCGGUGGGCUAGAGGAAGGUAGGGGUGCGCGGAACUUCUGGUGGAGCGGUGAAAUGCGUUGAUAUCAGAAGGAACGCCGGCGGCGAAAGCGGCGCACUGGACCUUUUCUGACGCUGAGGCGCGAAAGCCAGGGGAGCAAACGGG
rnacentral:rRNA from 1 species